CGUAGGUGGCGAGCGUUGUCCGGAAUUACUGGGUGUAAAGGGCGUGUAGGCGGGUAUGCAAGUCAGAUGUGAAACCCCACGGCUCAACCGUGGGCUUGCAUCUGAAACUGUAUAUCUUGAGUGUUGGAGAGGGAAGCGGAAUUCCUAGUGUAGCGGUGAAAUGCGUAGAGAUUAGGAGGAACACCAGUGGCGAAGGCGGCUUCCUGGCCAACAACUGACGCUGAGGCGCGAAAGCGUGGGAGCAAACAGGAUU
rnacentral:rRNA from 1 species